AUAAGCUGUAAUUAUAAGUUCUCAGGAGUCAAAAUAAUAGGCAUCAUUAGAUAACUGGAUAGCCAAGCGAAAAAGAAAUUGCCCAACAAAACUAAGCCAAAUAAAAUUGCCCAACAAUAUUGUGAACAUCAUACUUUGAGUCUUAUCAAGUUUAUGACCAAAUAAAAAUUGAUUUUUAGAUAAAUGGAUAAUUUGGCAAUGAGUUCCUGAGAUAAAAUAGCCAAGAAAAUUUUCAGUUCAGUAAUUAACACUGCAUAA
rnacentral:misc_RNA from 1 species